AUUUCAAUGAUGCCCAGAGGCAAGCUACCAAGGAUGCUGGUGUUAUCGCUGGUUUGAAUGUGGCUAGAAUUAUCAACGAGCCUACGGCUGCUGCGAUUGCAUAUGGCCUGGAUAAGAAGGGCGGUGAGAAAAACAUCCUUGUUUUCGACCUUGGAGGUGGAACUUUUGAUGUCAGCAUAUUGACCAUUGACAAUGGAGUUUUUGAGGUCUUGGCAACAAAUGGUGACACCCAUCUU
rnacentral:misc_RNA from 1 species